rnacentral:tRNA from 1 species
GUGGUUCAGUGGUAGAAUUCUUGCCUUCCAUGCAGGAGACCUGGACUCAAUACCCAGC